rnacentral:rRNA from 1 species
AAUAAUGACUCUCGGCAACGGAUAUCUAGGCUCUUGCAUCGAUGAAGAACGUAGCGAAAUGCGAUACUUGGUGUGAAUUGCAGAAUCCCGUGAACCAUCGAGUCUUUGAACGCAAGUUGCGCCCGAAGCCUUCUGGCCGAGGGCACGCCUGCCUGG